rnacentral:tRNA from 1 species
ACAUUGAUGGUUCAGUGGUAGAAUUCUCACCUUCCACGUGGGAGACGUUGGUUCAAUUCCUGGCCAAUACA